UGCGUAGGCGUCCAGGAAAGUUCUUUGUUAAAGCCUCCGGCUUAACCGGAGAGAUGCAAGUAAAACUAUCUGGAUAGAGUUUAAGAGAGGAAAAUGGAAUUCCUGGUGUAGCGGUGACAUGCGUAGAUAUCAGGAGGAACAUCAAUGGCGAAGGCAGUUUUCUGGCUUAAAACUGACGCUGAGGCACGAAAGCGUGGGGAGCAAACAGGAUUAGAUACCCUGGUAGUCC
rnacentral:rRNA from 1 species